rnacentral:rRNA from 1 species
GACGAACGCUGGCGGCGUGCUUAACACAUGCAAGUCGAACGGAAAGGCGCUGAUUUUGUUGGGUGCUCGAGUGGCGAACGGGUGUGUAAAACGUGAGUAACCUGCCCUUGUCUUUGGGAUAACUUCAGGAAACUGGGGCUAAUACCGGGUAGGAGCUCCUGAUGCAUGGGGGGGGUUGGAAAGUUUCGGCGGUUGGGGAUGGACUCGCGGCUUAUCAGCUUGUUGGUGGGGUAGUGGCUUACCAAGGGUUUGACGGGUAGCCGGCCCGAGAGGGUGACCGGCCACAUUGGGACUGAGAUACGGCCCAGACGCCUACGGGAGGCAGCAGUGGGGAAUCUUGCACAAUGGGCGGAAGCCUGAUGCAGCAACGCCGCGUGCGGGAUGACGGCCUUCGGGUUGUAAACCGCUUUCGCCUGUGACGAAGCGUGAGUGACGGUAAUGGGUAAAGAAGCACCGGCUAACUACGUG